UGACUGAGUGGCGGACGGGUGAGUAACGCGUGGGCAACCUGCCCCAUACAGGGGGAUAACAGCCGGAAACGGCUGCUAAAACCGCAUAAGCGCACAAGGGCCGCAUGGCCUGGUGUGAAAAACUCCGGUGGUAUGGGAUGGGCCCGCGUCUGAUUAGCUGGUUGGCGGGGUAAAGGCCCACCAAGGCGACGAUCAGUAGCCGGCCUGAGAGGGUGGACGGCCACAUUGGGACUGAGACACGGCCCAAACUCCUACGGAAGGCAGCAG
rnacentral:rRNA from 1 species